UACAGAUUUACAAUUAAUAAAUUCCCCAAGUAUUUAUUCCCACUAGACUUCAAUAACUUGGAGGGAGAGAGGAAAAUAACUAACUUGACCAAAUACAUACAUUGUCACUUCUCGUGACCAAAUAAGAAACUUUACGGUGUUGGAGAGAUGACUCGCUCAACACAUUACCGCAGAGGAUGACCUUUUGCGGUGUCCUAAAACAUACCCUUUUGACUUUUCACUCCUUCUUCUUAAUUAUUACUGUUGCUGGAAUUUCCUCUCCAACACGGCAGCAGCUUGAUCGUCGUAGUUCCUCCCUCGACGAACUCCAGCGACGAACUGACUGAUUUUUCUUCGAGCUCGCAGUUUUAUGCUACGAGCCAAGAGCAUUCUCAUGGCAACUCACAUUACCCCGAAAACAACUUUUUCCAUAAAUAAAAUAAUAAUAAUACUCUCUCCUCACACAAUGAUUACAAAGACUGCAAUCGACCGGACCCAGGAACUGAUCAUUCAGACGAAGUCAACUGUUCAUCCUCGUAUAUGGACAAAACCCAAGUAUUCUACGUGGAUAAGUAUUUAUAUAAGUUCGCUGCGAAAUUUCCACCGAUAAAUACGAAUAUUCCGUUAUUAAUUCGAAAUUUAUUUUACCAAAUACAACGAUAUAAUAUGUAUAAAUUAGGCAACAUACGCUAAUAUUCUCACAAAUUGAUUUAUGUAUGUACUGUGGAUUGUGUAAAUUUCAGCGCAUUUGUGCACGCUCAGACUACUUUCGAUGUCACAAAGGGAAUAACUGCAUCCCAAUAUCGUACUUGUGUAACGACUUGAUAGAUUGUAUUGAUGGGUCAGACGAAAUUCCGACAGAUUGUGGAAAAGCUAAAGGAUGCAAACCAGGCUCGUUUCAAUGUGCUUCGUUCGAGUGUAUACACCUGUCCAAGAAGUGUGACGGUUACAUCGACUGCUUGGACGGUUACUCAGACGAGGCGUGCAUAGAUCCUCAAAAAUGUCGUGCGAAGAGUGGAAAAUUUCUGUGUGGGUUAAAUGAAAUGUGCCUCGAAGCUGACAAAGUAUGUGAUGGAAUACCCCACUGCAGAGACGGCUCGGACGAGUUCGAUGGAUGUGGACUUGUCUGUAACAACUCGACUUGUACUAAUGGUUGUGUUCCCGAUCCGGCGAAAAACUUCAGCGAAACAUGUUAUUGUUUCGAUGGAUAUGAAAUCAGCUCAUCGGGCAAAUGCAUGGAUAAAGAUGAAUGCAAAGUGUUUGGAAGCUGUUCGCAAAUUUGUAAAAAUAAGAGAGGCAGCUUUGAGUGCUCCUGUCUGGACGGAUUUCACCUUGGCGUAGACAAUUCGUCCUGUGAUGUUACAGGUGUGUUAUAAUCUUAUUCGACUGGAAUUUCAUAAUAAGGACCAAUACCGCCUAAUAUGGACCUAAAAAAUAUUAUUGAUAUUUGUUUUACUCCUAUUUUUUUACCAUACGAUCCUCGACGUCAUCCCUCUCAUUACUAAUAGCAUUGCAGUGGUGACGUCGAGGGUCGUAUGGUAAAUAAACCGUUAAACGCAUGUAACGAAGGGGUGAAACCGAGAACUUUAUAACAUUUGUGAGGUGACAUAUGUAUCAAAUUUAACAUUUGGUGUCAGUUAACAGUUAACAAACAGUCAUUUAACAAUUUCAUGUUCUUUGAGGUAAAAAUGAAGGUCACCCUUGAAUUCGGGGUUAAAUUUCAAUUAAAAUUGACAUGUAUCAUAUAUAACGUUUAGUGAUCUUUCAGUGACCUCUAAGUGAUCUUUCGUGACCUUUGAGGUCAAAACGGAGGUCAUCAUUGAAUUCGCGGUUAAAUUUCAUGUCAAAUUGACAUAUGUAUGCAAUUUGACCCCUAUAUCCAACGUAUCCGAACUGAUCAGAGAGAUGGUGGAAGUUUGUAAUUAUUCUGCUGCCAAGGAGGCAAGCGAAAACAUUUAUGACAUGUUGGAUAAGAUGAGCAGAAACAAGUCACUCUGUGCGAUCGAGGCCCUGACCUUCCUUUGGGUUUAUGUCGGAGUGUUUGAGAAGAGAUGGAUUGAAACGGGCGAAAUUCGAAGUGCUAGCCGUAAAGAGGACGCACUCGCCGGUAGACUUUUUCAAGCAGCAGUGCAACAAGAGAAGGACAAGAAUAUGGAGCACGUUGCUAAUCUUUGGAAUGCGAUGUGGUACUUGCACAAACCCAAACCAAAGGAGGUGUACUUUUCAAUUACGGAUGCCAUUUUACGUGAAGCAUAUCCCAACGUGGACUUGACCUUGCACUAUUCAAGGGUCAGUUACGAGCCAGAUAAAUUCUUCGAGGUGAUGUCCAUGGGUAGAUUCAGAGGAUACGUCUCAGCGUGAGCUGGGAAGAGAAGACAACCGAGCUAAAAUUGUUCGUAUAGUAAAACACGCAUCCAUUACAUAAAUUUACAACUUCUUUAGAAAUUUCCAAUAUGUCGUAAUUCCUCUAAUUUUACAUGCACCUCAAAACGACAUGACUUGUUUUUAUCAAAUUUUGGACUUGAGUUAUUAUUUUACAUUUUUUAUUCAACACAUGACAUUUAUUGACCACUUUGAUUUUAGCAUCAACGUAUGUACAUGAAUUAUUUAAUAUGCGUUGCGUACAUACACAUUGAUACUUACGAUUUAUGUACUUGCAAAUUUUGGUCUAGUGUGACUUGUUCA